AGGAAGAUAUACUGGGAAAUUUAGAAAAGGAAGAAAACAGAAAGGAAGCUAACAAAUUAAGGAAUGGGGUGAAGAAAAAAGUUUUUUCAAGGAAAGGGAAGGAAGGAAGGAAAGGAAGGAAGGAAGGAAGGAAGGAAGGAGAGAGAAGGAAACUUUCUUUCUAGGGAAGGGCCUCUGGUGGCUCAACAGACUAAUGCAGUCUGUUAUUAACAGCAGCUGCUUGCAAUUACUGCAGGUUCAAGUCCCACCAGGCCCAAGGUUGACGCAGCCUUCCAUCCUUUAUAAGGUAGGUAAAAUGAGGACCCAGAUUGUUGGGGGCAAUAAGUUGACUUUGUAUAUAAUAUACAAAUGGAUGAAGACACUUGCUUGACAUAGUGUAAGCUGCCCUGAGUCUUCGGAGAAGGGCGGGAAUAAAUGCAAAAAAAAAAAACCUAAGGAAGGAAGCUAUACUUGGAAAUUUAGAAAAGGAAGAAAAUAGAGAGGAAGCUAUCAAGUUUAGGAAUGGGGUGAAGGAAAAAGUUUUUUGAAGGAAGGAAGGAAGGGAAGGGAAGGGAGGAAGGAAAAAACAAAAGAAAGCCAAAUCACACUGGAAAAGCUGUUGCAGAGAAAGAAGACACAAUGUCUCAAACAAUGUCAUUUUUAUUACACAAACAGCGCUCUCUUGUGGAAACCUUAAAUGCAGCCUUAGAAUGUCUCUGAAACAAUUUAAAAUACUGUAGAUCAUUGCCCCACCCCACCGCUUUGCGUACCAGGGACUGGUAAAUAACAAUCCAGAGUGGACCCAUUGUUUGGCUUAAUAACGGUAGCAGUUGCUUGAGAAUGGCUGCAAACUGAGGUUGUAGAAUUGGGUUGAUCUUGUGGGUGACCAGAUUUAUGACGGUCAUGAAUUACGACUGUGAUGGGCAGAGUCCGUUGCGGUCAUAACUCGAGGAGUACCUGUAUAGCUCUGCUUCUGCCAUCAGCUGAAUUCUGGACUUGGCACAAAAUAUGAAACUGGCAAGCACAUUUUUCAUUCUGGUUAGCUUGGCAUACUUAAGGGAUAAAAAUCACCCUUAUAUUCAUUCUGCCUUUUUAUAGUAUUAAGAAAUCAAGAGGAACCAGAUUUUUCAAACUUCCAUCUUCGGCAUCAAAAGAAAAGACCAGGGAUGCCAAGAUCUCAUAAAUUCUUCAUUUCGUUCUACUAGUAGAAUCCAUCCCAUAUCAUCUACUUGGAAUUCUGAAUCAAUGGGCCUUUAUACCGAACCAAAUAAAAUAUGAUGCAAGUUACUACAGAGAGGUUCAACUAUUGGGCAGAUUAAAACUGCCUAUCAAGAAAUACUGUGAUAUUUAUUAAAUAUCUGUGUUAUUGAUUUAUUAAACAGUAUUUAUCACAUUUAUUAAACACGUCGAUAUUUAUUAAAAUAAAUACUAGCUAAUUUUGGCACCGCAGCCUGAAUGCUUUAUUACAAACCUGUUACAAGAUGUAUCUUAUCAAAGAGCAGGUACUGAUUCAGACUGCAGACAGGUUUUUACGUUCUUAAGCGCAUUAUGGAAAACUCCUUGGAGUUAUGGAAAACUCCCAGCGCAUUAUGGAAAACUCCCUGCCUGCAGAAAGCUAACCCAUCAGUGAUAAACUCGUGCCAAACUUUUCUCUGUGACUAUUUAAGUAAAAAGUGGGUUUUUUAAACAAACAAACAAACAAACACAAACCGGCCUUUUCUCCUAGAAUUAAUCCUGGAUGUUGUUUUUUUUACAUACAUGCUCAUGAUGGAUUGCUCAUGAUGGAUGGAGCCAGUUUCCCAACAGAAAUGUUUUAGCGAGCAGACAGACUUAAACGCAGCUAUGUUGCAGAGACACAAAUACAGUGAUACUCCGGUCCUGUUCCCUGAAGUUGGGACGAAAAGUGAGAAAGAGAAGGCUGUGCGUGCAAAAGAGAGAGCGAACAGAAGAUGGUCACAAUGUCCCAUGACCAGGGGUGGGAUUCUACGGGUUCGGGCAAACCGGUAGUUCCGACGAUCAGCUGGGAGCGAACCGGUUUGCCCCGGCGAUCAGAUGGGGCCAGGCGCCGGCCCUAUUGUCAUACCUUUAUCUUCUCAGCUGAUUUGCGUGGCAGAGCAGAUUGCCGCACCUCAGCUGUGUUUUGCCUCCGAAGAAACGCAGAAGUGACAAUUUCUUCAAACUGCGCAUGCAUGCGCAAAAUCACCGAACCGGUUGUUAAACUGAGAGGAUCCCACCACUGCCCAUGACACACGCAUUUUGGCCCUUUGAGCAAUUGUUUGCACAGAUUUAAUGGAUUACAGAUCUGAGCGUAUUAUGGGUGGCAAUUAUACCAAUCUAAGACAAAGGUUUGAAACAAUGGACAACGUACGCUAAAAUGUGCUAAAAUGUUUGUAGUCAAAGAUGAAACAACAAGAAUUGUGAAAGAAAAGCAGCCCAUAGGUCCUGAGAUGCCUCUUAUUAAUUUUAGGGAACAGUUCCUAUGCUGUGUUUUAUUUAUCACGUCCCAUUUUUUGUUAAGAUACUGCCUUUCAAACUUAAUUUAUUGGAAACUAAAGAUGUUUUCUAAAAAUAACUUUGAAUCUGCUAAAAAAUGCAGCUUUCCACUUGUAAGUUUCCACCAGCUGGGCCUGUCUGGUUUAGAACUGACACCCUUGAGAAUUCAAAAUAAGAUUUAAAAUUGCAAGGGGCAGGAGAAGGAGGAGGAGGAAUGGUUUAUGGAAAAAACGAUAGAUUCUAUUAUCAUCCCAUUACCCAAAUAUUACCCAGAAUCCACUUUACGAACAACUUAGGUGAUUUUUAAAUGCUGGGUUGAACCGUGAGAUGGAAAGGGAGCUACUGUCAGGCCCAAAGAACCAAGAACGCCACGAGGAGUUACUUUUAAGGCCUGUCGAUUCUUUAUUGUUGUUUGCCUAUGGACAGAAUCUUGCCAGAUUAAAGCAACUAUCUAGAUCAGGGGUCUCCAACCUUGGCAACUUUCUG